rnacentral:rRNA from 1 species
CCUACGAGUGGCUGCAGUGGGGAAUAUUGCACAAUGGGGGAAACCCUGAUGCAGCGACGCCGCGUGAGUGAAGAAGUAAUUCGUUAUGUAAAGCUCUAUCAGCAGGGAAGAAAAUGACGGUACCUGAGUAAGAAGCCCCGGCUAACUACGUGCCAGCAGCCGCGGUAAUACGUAGGGGGCAAGCGUUAUCCGGAUUUACUGGGGGUAACGGGAGCGUAGACGGCAGUGCAAGGCUGGAGUGAAAGGCGGGGGCUCAACCCCCGGACUGCUCUGGAAACUGUACGGCUGGAGUGCAGGAGAGGGAAGUGGAAGUCCGAGUGUAGCGGUGAAAUGCGUAGAUAUUAGGAGGAACACCAGUGGCGAAGGCGGCUUACUGGACUGUAACUGACGUUGAGGCUCGAAAGCGUGGGGAGCAAACAGGAUUAGAUACCCCAGUAGUC